CAGCCUCACCUGGCCUGAACCAGGCUAAUUGGACUGUGGGGCUGGUAGAGGCUUCACACCUGUGGUGCAUUCAGUAAUCAGGGCACACAGGUUAAACACUGCGGGAGAAGUCGGAUUUCCGUCGUCAAGCAGCACGGCUAAAUUACGGUGGGAGUGCAGGUUCACGGCGUCAGAAAUUUGUAGGCAGUGCAGAAAAACGGUCAGGAAUUGAUUCUUCAAACAGCUUUUUACAGCAGUGACCACCAAAUUGCAUGGAUCAGAGGCUGGGUGUUUUGGACGUACGGAGGAGAUGAAGGGGAAAGACAAAUUAGUGGAUUGGGGGGCGUACCCUCUCCAGUGUGACCGAUCUAACGACAGAUUGACAGAUCUAACAGCCAAUCACGAGGGGUAUUUCUUUUGCAACAUCUUUACUUUUAUCCAAUGAUGAGUGAGACUGCUGCUUUCGUUCGUUAGCCUUCAACACCCUGCCUGAGAAUUCGCAUUCGCCAUCGCAUUGUUGCUGCUCAGACCUCUUUUGAUCAACUUCUAGGGUGAAUGUAAUGUUAUGAAAAGCUAUGAACAAACACGUUUUUUUAACAGGCAAACCUGCUUCGGGCUCAGGCUCAGGCUCAGCUUAAGACUGGGGGUACAGGAACAUGCCAAGUUUCCUUAUAGACCCUAACUAAUUAUUUUGUUCCUUAAUUACACUUUGGUUAUUCAUAUUUUCUGUAGCAAUGCACUUUAAUCUUUAUAGGGCCAGUAGCAUUAUGUUAAGCCUUAUGGGAGAGCGUGAUGAAAAUGCUUUCAAGCAUUUCAGAAUGUCGAACGUAUGCAUUGCAGCGCAACACUGCGACAGACAAUGUAACGAUAUUCUCUAUUCUUACGUAAUACAUGGACACAAAUAUACCGCACAUGAAAUAAACAGAUGUGGGAUCACACUGGGGGACUCUCCCUUUCCCUCUCAACCGUGCACACACACAGACACACACACACACACACACACACACACACACACACACCACACACACACACACAGACACACACACACACACACACACACACACACACACACACACACAGAGAGAGAGACAGACACACACAGACAGAGACACACACACACAGACACACACAAAGACACACACACAAAGACAGACACACACACAAAGACACUUGGACAAUGACGCACAUAAAUAUGCAAAUGCACACAUACCAACAUCAAUAUUAAAGUACUUACAAAGGCUUGCAGGAAACUGUUAUAUACACAGAAUCCCCCCCCCACACACACACACAUACGCACACACAACUUCCACCACACUGUUUAAAUUACAAGAACGGAGAGAGGAAAUCCAUUGACAAUCUACACUGUAACCAGACCUCCUCUUCCACCUUGUCCACACGCCCUCGUCUCCUUUUGCUAACUAGCACAUACCAGCCCUCCUAUUUAUUGAUGUUCUGGACCCAGGGUUGUGGAUAUGGCUCCUUGGCAACCAUACAUGUACUUUUUAAGUGUUCAAUAUUCAGUCCCUCAGCAGAUGCUUUUAUCCACCAGGAUUUGAAGAGGAAUUGGGGCGUCUGGCCCAAGGGUAAGGCUGUCUGCAGGUCAGGCUGCAGACAUUGGGAAUCUGACCCAUUUUCACCACUGCGCUGCACUGCCAUACAACAACAUUUGCGGGUUUCAUCUCAUACCUUACAUCCUCCCAGCCAAUGUGUGGCAAUACAAAAACCCAGCUGGAUGGGGAGUCUGGCAGGUUCAAUGUUUGUCAAGAGAAUUGCCUCGAGGUUUGAAAUGCAUCGAUGUAAACUCUGGCCUGGGAGACAUGAAAUAUGAAGGCAACAGGUUUCGAUCAUUAGGAAAUCCAUAAUGAAGGCUUUUGCAUCAAGCUUACUGAUUGCCAUUACUGG
ensembl:lncRNA